rfam:Pan troglodytes isolate Yerkes chimp pedigree #C0471 (Clint) chromosome 9, whole genome shotgun sequence.
AAAGUACUGGUCUCAGCAGAUUGAGGAGAGCACCACAGUGGUCACCAUGCAGUCCGCUGAGGUUGGAGCUGC